rnacentral:rRNA from 1 species
CACGUAGGGUGCGAGCGUUGUCCGGAAUUAUUGGGCGUAAAGAGCGUGUAGGCGGCCAGGUAGGUCUGCUGUGAAAACUCGAGGCUCAACCUCGAGAUGUCGGCGGAAACCAUCUGGCUAGAGUCCGGAAGAGGAGAGUGGAAUUCCUGGUGUAGCGGUGAAAUGCGCAGAUAUCAGGAAGAACACCCGUGGCGAAGGCGGCUCUCUGGGACGGUACUGACGCUGAGACGCGAAAGCGUGGGGAGCGAACAGG